rnacentral:snRNA from 1 species
GUGCUUGCUUCAGCAGCAUAUAUACUAAAAUUGGAACGAUACAGAGAAGAUUAGCAUGGCCCCUGUGCAAGGAUGACACGCAAAUUCAUGAAGCAUUCCAUAUUUUU